rnacentral:piRNA from 2 species
ACAGUGGUGACAAUGAGACCUGUAACAUUU